rnacentral:RNase_P_RNA from 1 species
UGGCGGUCUGUCGCUCGUGGCUCAUCAUGGAGUGCGAGAGGAAAGUCCGGGCAACACAGAGCAUCACAUUUCUUAACGGGAAGCCAGGGGUGACCUUGGGGUUAAGGUAACAGAAAACAACCGCCACCAGUGCCUCUUGAGGCAGGGGGCAAGGGUGAAAAGGCGAGGUAAGAGCUCACCGGGCAGCGUGGUAACACGUUGUGCCGUACUACCUGUGAGUUGCAAGGUCAAGUAUAUCGGCAUUUAAGGGUUGCUCGUCCAUUGUCGAGGGGUAGACUGCUAUACCGGCAUGGCAACAUGACGGACAGAUAAAUGACAGACGGUGUGUGGAUGUCGGCAUUAUAUGUUGAGGAUUCAACACACUACAUAACCCGGCUUAUAGCCAUACU